rnacentral:rRNA from 1 species
UUGAACGCUGGCGGCAGGCCUCACACAUGCAAGUCGAACGGUAACAGGAAGCAGCUUGCUGCUUUGCUGACGAGUGGCGGACGGGUGAGUAAUGUCUGGGAAACUGCCCGAUGGAGGGGGAUAACUACUGGAAACGGUAGCUAAUACCGCAUAACGUCGCAAGACCAAAGAGGGGGACCUUAGGGCCUCUUGCCAUCGGAUGUGCCCAGAUGGGAUUAGCUAGUAGGUGGGGUAACGGCUCACCUAGGCGACGAUCCCUAGCUGGUCUGAGAGGAUGACCAGCCACACUGGAACUGAGACACGGUCCAGACUCCUACGGGAGGCAGCAGUGGGGAAUAUUGCACAAUGGGCGCAAGCCUGAUGCAGCCAUGCCGCGUGUAUGAAGAAGGCCUUCGGGUUGUAAAGUACUUUCAGCGGGAGGAAGGGAGUAAAGUUAAUACCUUUGCUCAUUGACGUUACCCGCAGAAGAAGCACCGGCUAACUCCGUG